rnacentral:rRNA from 1 species
UACGAAGGGGGCUAGCGUUGUUCGGAAUCACUGGGCGUAAGGGGCGCGUAGGCGGCUGUUCAAGUCGGGGGUGAAAGCCUGUGGCUCAACCACAGAAUUGCCUUCGAUACUGGACGGCUGGAGACCGGAAGAGGUCAGUGGAACUGCGAGUGUAGAGGUGAAAUUCGUAGAUAUUCGCAAGAACACCAGUGGCGAAGGCGGCUGACUGGUCCGGUUCUGACGCUGAGGCGCGAAAGCGUGGGGAGCAAACAGG